rnacentral:rRNA from 1 species
GUGAGGAAUUUUCCGCAAUGGGCGAAAGCCUGACGGAGCAAUGCCGCGUGAAGGAUGAAGGCCUAUGGGUUGUAAACUUCUUUUCUCAGAAAAGAAUUAUGACGGUAUCUGAGGAAUAAGCAUCGGCUAACUCUGUGCCAGCAGCCGCGGUAAGACAGAGGAUGCAAGCGUUAUCCGGAAUGAUUGGGCGCAAAGCGUCUGUAGGUUGUUUAAAAAGUAUUCUGUCAAAGAUUAGGGCUUAACCCUAGAUAGGCAGAAUAAACUUUUAAGCUAGAGUUUGGUAGAGGCAGAGGGAAUUCCCGGUGGAGCGGUGAAAUGCGUAGAUAUCGGGAGGAACACCAAAGGCGAAGGCACUCUGCUGGGCCAAUACUAACACUGAGAGACGAAAGCGAGGGGAGCAAAUGGGAUUAGAAACCCCUGUAGUCC